UACGUAGGGCGCAAGCGUUGUCCGGAAUUAUUGGGCGUAAAGAGCUCGUAGGCGGUCUGUCGCGUCUGCUGUGAAAACCCGAGGCUCAACCUCGGGCCUGCAGUGGGUACGGGCAGACUAGAGUGCGGUAGGGGAGACUGGAAUUCCUGGUGUAGCGGUGGAAUGCGCAGAUAUCAGGAGGAACACCGAUGGCGAAGGCAGGUCUCUGGGCCGCAACUGACGCUGAGGAGCGAAAGCAUGGGGAGCGAACAGG
rnacentral:rRNA from 1 species